rnacentral:rRNA from 1 species
CCCUAUGGGGUGCACCAGGCGAGAAAACUUUGCAAUGUGCGAAAGCACGACAAGGUUAAUCCGAGUGUUUUCUGCUAAAGAAAUCUUUUGUCAGUCCUAAAAACACUGAUGAAUAAGGGGUGGGCAAGUUCUGGUGUCAGCCGCCGCGGUAAAACCAGCACCUCAAGUGGUCAGGAGGAUUAUUGGGCCUAAAGCAUCCGUAGCCUGCUUUGUAAGUUUUCGGUUAAAUCCAUGUGCUCAACGUAUGGGCUGCCGGGAAUACUGCACAGCUAGGGAGUGGGAGAGGUAGACGGUACUCGGUAGGAAGGGGUAAAAUCCUUUGAUCUAUUGAUGACCACCUGUGGCGAAGGCGGUCUACCAGAACACGUCCGACGGUGAGGGAUGAAAGCUGGGGGAGCAAACCGGAUUAGAUACCCGGGUAGUCCCAGCUGUAAACUAUGCAAACUCAGUGAUGCGUUGGCUUGUAGCCAGUGCAGUGCCGCAGGGAAGCCGUUAAGUUUGCCGCCUGGGAAGUACGUACGCAAGUAUGAAACUUAAAGGAAUUGGCGGGGGAGCACCACAAGGGGUGAAGCCUGCGGUUCAAUUGGAGUCAACGCCAGAAAUCUUACCCGGAGAGACAGCAGAAUGAAGGUCAAGCUGAAGACUUUACCAGACAAGCUGAGAAGUGGUGCAUGGCC